UGCAUUGAUAACACAGGGACAUAUGAUAAAGCAGUGAUUUUGUAUCUAGAUUGCUUUUUAGACAAAAAGCUUUGCACGAUUUUUAAUUUUUAAUUAUGUUUCUAUCAUUAAUUUAAAUAUUUGUGAGACGACAAGCUUUAGAUUGUAUAAUAUUUCUUAACUUGCAAUAUUUCCCCAUGCUCUUGUACAUUAGUAUAAAAGGAAAAUAUUUUUUUUUUCUCACAUACAAUAGUUACAAAAAUAGGUAAAUAAAAAC